rnacentral:rRNA from 1 species
CAAUAGCGUAUAUUAAAGUUGUUGCAGUUAAAAAGCUCGUAGUUGGAUUUCUGGUUGAAGCGACCGGUCGGGCGUUGAUUCGUCUGCACUGGAGUCGGUUUUGGCCAUCCUCUAGGAAAGUGCGUCUGGUAUUAAGUUAUCGGGCGUAUGAUCCUGGUCUUUUACUGUGAAAAAAUUAGAGUGUUUAAAGCAGGCCUUCGCCUUGAAUACAUUAGCAUGGAAUAAUAAGAUAGGACUUUGGUCUAUUUUGUUAGUUUGCAGACCGAAGUAAUGAUUAAUAGGGAUAGUUGGGGGUAUUUAUAUUCCGAUGUCAGAGGUGAAAUUCUUAGAUUUUCGGAAGAUAAACUUAUGCGAAAGCAUUUACCAAGGAUGUUUUCAUUA